GAUGAACGCUGGCGGCGUGCCUAAUACAUGCAAGUCGAGCGAACAGACGAUGAUCUUUCUCCUCUGACGUUAGCGUCUGACGUGUGAGUAACACGUGUAUAACCUACCUAUAAUACUUGUAUAACUUCGGGAAACCGGCUCUAAUACCGUAUAACAUGUUGAACCGCAUGGUUCAACAGUGAAAUACGUUUUUUCUGUCUCUUAUAGAUGGAUCCGCGUCGCAUUAUCUAGUUGGUAAGGUAACGGCUUACCAAGGCAACGAUGCGUAGCCGACCUGAGAGGGGGAUAGGAGAAACGGGAAAGGAGAAAGGGAAAAGAGAACUACGGGAGGAAGCAGUAGGGAAUAGGACGCAAUGGGCGAAAGCAUGAAGGAGCAAGGCCGAGUGAGUGAAGAAGGUCUGAGGAUCGUAAAAAUAGGUUAUUAGGGAAGAAAAAAAGUGGAAGUAAAUAUGCACGUAGUGACGGUAACUAAUAAGAAAGCAACGGCUAAAUACGUG
rnacentral:rRNA from 1 species